GACGAACGCUGGCGGCGUGCUUAACACAUGCAAGUCGAACGGAAGGGCCCUGCUUUUGUGGGGUGCUCGAGUGGCGAACGGGUGAGUAACACGUGAGUAACCUGCCCUUGACUUUGGGAUAACUUCAGGAAACUGGGGCUAAUACCGGAUAGGAGCUCCUGCUGCAUGGUGGGGGUUGGAAAGUUUCGGCGGUUGGGGAUGGACUCGCGGCUUAUCAGCUUGUUGGUGGGGUAGUGGCUUACCAAGGCCUUGACGGGUAGCCGGCCUGAGAGGGUGACCGGCCACAUUGGGACUGAGAUACGGCCCAGACUCCUACGGGAGGCAGCAGUGGGGAAUAUUGCACAAUGGGCGGAAGCCUGAUGCAGCAACGCCGCGUGCGGGAUGACGGCCUUCGGGUUGUAAACCGCUUUCGCCUGUGACGAAGCGUGAGUGACGGUAAUGGGUAAAGAAGCACCGGCUAACUACGUG
rnacentral:rRNA from 1 species